AACGAAAUUCCAAAGUUAACUUUUGUUCAAAUGUAAAACAAAUCGACGAAUAUGCAUACAAUUGAAAAGAAAAGCAAUGAUGUUCAGCUAUACUGAAAACAGAUGUUAGCAUGUACCAAAAGUUACUCGCUCUUGGUUUUCGGCCCAGUACCCUUUAGCUGGACCCGGACUGCGUGUAUGACGCCACCAGCCACCAUGCGCCGCGAUCCCAGAGAGAGAGCCCACAGAAACCGGACGCACAUAGCGGGACCGCGGCACGGGGCGCUGUUGAUCAGAGAUUGACGCUGCAACGCCGGAUGAUCAAGCUUGCCCGGACGCGAAUGUAAAACGCAGUGACAACAUCGACCGGAUCGCCCCAAGUCUGCACAUGCGCAGUGAC